UACGUAGGGGGCUAGCGUUGUCCGGAAUCAUUGGGCGUAAAGCGCGUGUAGGCGGUCCGGUAAGUCCGCUGUGAAAGUCGGGGGCUCAACCCUCGAAUGCCGGUGGAAAUUGUCGGGCUAGAGUACGGAAGAGGCGAGUGGAAUUCCUGGUGUAGCGGUGAAAUGCGCAGAUAUCAGGAGGAACACCAAUUGCGAAGGCAGCUCGCUGGGACGUUACUGACGCUGAGACGCGAAAGCGUGGGGAGCAAACAGG
rnacentral:rRNA from 1 species